rnacentral:rRNA from 1 species
GUAUGUACUGGUGUUACUGGUUCCUACCUUCUGGCGAAGCGUCAUGGCCUUAACCGGCCGUGGCGGGGAACCAGGACUUUUACUGUGAAAAAAUUAGAGUGUUCAAAGCAGGCAAUCGCUUGGAUACAUUAGCAUGGAAUAACGGAAUAGGACAAUGGUUCUAUUUGUUGGUUUCUAGGA